CUGAGUACGACGGAGCACGUGAAAUUCCGUCGGAAUCUGGGAGGACCAUCUCCUAAGGCUAAAUACUCUCUAGUGACCGAUAGUGAACCAGUACCGUGAGGGAAAGGUGAAAAGUACCCCGGAAGGGGAGUGAAAGAGAACUUGAAACCGUGUGCUUACAAGUAGUCAGAGCCCGUUAAUGGGUGAUGGCGUGCCUUUUGUAGAAUGAACCGGCGAGUUACGAUCUGAUGCAAGGUUAAGCAGAAAAUGUGGAGCCGUAGCGAAAGCGAGUCUGAAUAGGGCGAAUGAGUAUUUGGUCGUAGACCCGAAACCAGGUGAUCUACCCUUGGUCAGGUUGAAGUUCAGGUAACACUGAAUGGAGGACCGAACCGACUUACGUUGAAAAGUGAGCGGAUGAACUGAGGGUAGCGGAGAAAUUCCAAUCGAACUUGGAGAUAGCUGGUUCUCUCCGAAAUAGCUUUAGGGCUAGCCUCAAGUGAUGAUUAUUGGAGGUAGAGCACUGUUUGGACGAGGGGCCCCUCUCGGGUUACCGAAUUCAGACAAACUCCGAAUGCCAAAUAAUUUAACUUGGGAGUCAGAAUGUGGGUGAUAAGGUCCAUAUUCGAAAGGGAAACAGCCCAGACCACCAGCUAAGGUCCCAAAAUAUAUGUUAAGUGGAAAAGGAUGUGGCGUUGCCCAGACAACUAGGAUGUUGGCUUAGAAGCAGCCAUCAUUUAAAGAGUGCGUAAUAGCUCACUAGUCGAGUGACACUGCGCCGAAAAUGUACCGGGGCUAAACAUAU
rnacentral:rRNA from 1 species